GGGCCAGCCUGGCUGUGGCAGCGAGUGCUCGGGACGUGUCCCCGCGUGGUGACGCCUGCGGUCACCCCAGGCUGGCCUUGGGGCUCCGGCAUGUGCGGCAGCUGCAGGGAGUUAGGAGAAAAUUAACUGAGCUAUAAUUACCUGAGCAGCUGCAGGCUUCCUCUGCCUAAAUUACUGCUGAUGCUGGUGCAGGCGGGCGCUGUGCGUCCUGCUCCUGGUGGGAACGGCCGGGAGAGGGCUGGGCUGGGUGCAGCAGGGACGGAGUCAUCCUCGCAGCACCGAUGCAGGCAGCAGCUUGGAGAGCCUGGCAUGGUGACAGCCCUGCCAGCUCCUUGCUGCAAUCGUUCCAGUUUCUCUCUCUCCUAUUUCUUUAAGCCAGAGCUGCCCUUUUCCUCUCUGUCCCUCCAUUCUCGCCCUCCCUGCAGCUCAGACCCAGCACGCAGCCUUUUGGGGACAGCCUGGUCCCUGACACGUUCCUCUGCGAACGCAGACACGCAGCAGCCACGGCCACGACUGGAGCAGCCCCUCUGCCUGGGGCUGUGGCUCCAGACUGCUUGGCUCUUGCCCUCUGCCCGAGCUGGCCCCGUGGCCACCCGCCCUCGUGCACUGCCUGGGGGUGACCCCUCGCGGGGUCCCUGCCCUGGGGACACAUGCAGACGGGUGCUUGCGAGGGCACCGCGGCAGGAGCAGCCGUGCGGGAGCUUUCCCUGUGUGUGCUUUGUGCUCCGUGCACGCCUGCUCUUUGUUUCUUUGUGGAGGCUUUGGGAAAGGCUGCCGGUGUCGCUGCCGGUGUCACUGCCAGCAUUCCCCUCCAUGGCUCGUUGCUUCCCCAAGUCGAAGCUUCUCCUCUGUUCCUC